rnacentral:rRNA from 1 species
UGAGUAACCUGCCCUUCACUCUGGGAUAACUCCGGGAAACCGGGGCUAAUACUGGAUAUGACUCGAACAGGCAUCUGUUUCGGGUGGAAAGAUUUAUUGGUGGAGGAUGGACUCGCGGCCUAUCGGCUUGUUGGUGAGGUAAUGGCUCACCAAGGCGACGACGGGUAGCCGGCCUGAGAGGGCGAUCGGCCACACUGGGACUGAGACACGGCCCAGACCUCCGUACGGGGAGCA